AUAACUGCACGAUUCUGUGAGGUGUUUAUGAACGUUCAAACGAAAUUUUAUUUAGAAAAAAAUAAUGAACGACCAAUUACGACACCAAGAUUUUGCCGGAGUAUUGCAUUGUGAAUUUUUGUACGAUUAUUGACUUCCGUGGUGGUUGUGAGAUUCGACUAACCUUAGUUUAAAUUACAACUGGAUAUCCUUACCUCAAUAUAUGGGAGUCAGGGAAAAGUCAAAUUCCAUUUUGUCGAAAUUUUAUAUUCGUACUGUAGUCAAGAAAAAGUGGUCGUAUUUCAUUGAAAGAAGCAUUAUGCCGACUGUCGAAUUAACCAUACUGCCGUUAACACUGCCGUUUCUGUCCAUCGUUUUAAACUUGACGAUCUUGACCGAUCGGUAGAAACUAAGGUAAGAUAUUUUAAAAGUAAAACUGGAAUAAAUUAAAAUUGACGAAAUAUCCGCACACUUUUUUUUAACAACGUCGUAUGUUAUUUCACAUAAUAUUAUUUAGCGUUUAAUUAACACUUGAAUCAAUACACGUUCCACUUUUUCUCAAAUUCUUUUUUCAAUUCACUUUUUCUUUUUUGUGUUGAAUUAAUGUUAUUUUCUCUUCAACUAUUCCUCGGUCUUAUAUAUUUUAUAACGAAUUAACCGGUUCGGAAUCUGGCCGUGCACUGUCGGUCAUAUGGCUGUUCUCUUUCCGUCGUGGCUUUUGCUGUUCUACACGAGUUCCUACAGUGGCUCCGAAGAGUAUCGAGAACAGAGUAGAGGAGAAACGAAGUGAGAGCUGAAGUCUCUGACGGUCAAGUCGACAUUGCUUCCCAUUCCCAUUUCCAUUUCCAUUCACCAUGCAGGUAGACUAGGUGUGCAUUAUCGAGGUCUUCGGACCAGCUAGAAACUGGGAGUCAUAGUGGAAUUCAGGAAGGCAGUACCUAAACAAAUGAAAAAUAUGACCCAAAAGGGGCUGGGCCGAGCCGUGAAUGAAAGCAGAAUUCUGAGUGUCCGUUGGGUUUGCCUGAGAACUUUACGUACGGAUUAGCCUGUAACGAACGCAGUUGGGCUAUUGGGAUAAGUUGAGGAUCUAGUGUCGGAGCCUGUGCAAAAUGCUGCUCGAUUUGGCUCAAUGGCCACUUAAAUAAUUCAAUCAUCAAAGUUUCAGUGGCUACAAACUGAAACUGCUCAUGGCGGCUUACGAUUAAUUUCCUGUCCAGGACGUUACUCGUGCUGUCUACCAAGUUGACGUAUAAAUCGACUGUUAUGCUGUUAAGAAUUGAGUCCACGUGAUAUGCAUUACUUACAUUAGGAUUAUACCGUACAAUCGUCUAGACCAAUCGGUACCAUGAAUUUUUUAAUUUUUAAUUAUAGCCAUACACUCGAAACACUGAAACCUGUCAGUUCUCAGAGUAGAUGUUGGAUUUAAUCUCUGCUUGUUAAUUGGCAAUGUUGACUUGGCUCUCAAAUUCGAUAACUGGUACAAAACAUCUUAUAAUUGCCAUUAUACGACUGGAGCUACCGGAGAAGAAACGAUUAAAAAAAAUAAUUUUACGAUUCCAUUGUUCAAUUCAUAUGGUGAACUCAUAAAAUACAUUUCUUCGAUAAUCGUCAAUUUUAAUAUUUAAAAAUUCAAGAGGUUUUCAAAAGUACGAUUGCAUCUAUUAAUAAAUAGGUUUUACUUUUUCAAAAGUUCGUCAACUACAACAACGAUCGAUAUCACUGGUUAUCAAUUUAAAUAUAUGUAUUUCUACGUUUGAUGAAUCGAUAGGCACUUUAUUUAUUCAUUUUACGAACCUGCCAAUAAUUAUACAUAUAUAAAUAUACUCCCUAUCAAGUUUCUUAACCCAGAAGUAAGCACGUGGGGUGUCUACUAACAUUAAGAGACUCCAACUAAAUGCUUUUUAAAUAUAGAACAACAUGGCACAUCCAUCAUUGAAUUACGGCUAUAAAUAAUUGUAGAAUAAGAAUAAAAUUGAAAAAUCUAAUACGCUUAUCAUGAAAUUACUACCGCUUGUGCCAAAAGAUUAAUAUACACUGCCGUUUAUCUUACUAGUAUUUUUACAGGUUAAAAAUUAAUAAAUUCGAUUAUCUUCCACCUCUGUAAUGAAUAUAUGAGAAAUACGCAUCAGCACCGUGUAACAAUCCGACUACGCCACUGAGUAGCUGUAACAAACUGCUGUCAUAGCGGGAUAAACGUCGUAACCAGGAGUCAAGAGAUACUGAGCCCAAAGAAACAUUUUUGUUGAAAAAGCCAAAUACGACGCUGAGCUCAUAUAGAGAAAGCAUGCCAGAGCGUUGAACAUCAGUUCCUGUUAGAGCAAAGGGAGCCAAAAAAUAUCACAUCAGUGUUUCAAGCUGAUAACAAGGAAAAGUCAAGAUAACAUUUCACUCACGAAAAGCGACGAUCGAACCAGCCUGUAGGAUUUCUCCGAAAUAACAUAGCAAGCAAGAAGCACAGAGGAAGUGAGGAAACAGGCGGAAGCCGUUGUGAGCG